GUAUAGAAAAUAGCUAUUAUGUUUGUUUUGAAUUGUGGUGGAUGAAGUUUCUUGUAAAAGAUUUGAUCUUCUUGUUCUGCAGAACUUUUCCAGUUAAGCUGUUGUUUAUGUUACAUCUAGUUUUACUACAUGCAGUUUGAUUCAUACUUCGCGCAAUCCAGAUGCUUAAAUCUUCUGCAGAUUAGAGUUAAGUUCGACCAAAUUUAUGUAUUGAUUGGGGAUUCUUCAUUCAUGUUUCAUGUCUUCUGCAUGAACACGAAUUGCUGGAUCCUUUACUCUAUUAAUAUCUUCCAGGAUUCAAUACGAGAAAACUCAGGUGAAUACAUGAAACUGUACUGUCUGCCGAAUAUUGGGAGCAACCAUAUGAGGUAAAUGAAAGUUGUGUCUUUGAAGUUUUGUGUUAUACUAUUGAAUAUUGUGUAUUUCAAUGUCUAUCAUUGGUAAAAAUCACAUCUGUAAUAUGCUUAUUCUCAGAAGAAAGGUAAAAGAAUGUUUAUUUACAAAUCAUCAUCUUAACUGUCUAAUUAUCGCCAUCAGAAACUCGCUCCACGCAUCGACUGGCCCGGGCAAACACCAAUGGACGCAAUCAUUGUAGCCUUUCAUCCAUUUAU
rnacentral:lncRNA from 1 species